AUUGAACGCUGGCGGAAUGCUUUACACAUGCAAGUCGAACGGUAGAGGGGGCAACCCCUCGAGAGUGGCGAACGGGUGAGUAAUAUAUCGGAACGUGCCCAGUCGUGGGGGAUAACGUAGCGAAAGUUACGCUAAUACCGCAUACGAUCUAAGGAUGAAAGCGGGGGAUCGCAAGACCUCGCGCGAUUGGAGCGGCCGAUAUCAGAUUAGUUAGUUGGUGGGGUAAAGGCUCACCAAGCCAACGAUCUGUAGCUGGUCUGAGAGGACGACCAGCCACACUGGAACUGAGACACGGUCCAGACUCCUACGGGAGGCAGCAGUGGGGAAUUUUGGACAAUGGACGCAAGUCUGAUCCAGCCACUCCGCGUGCAGGAUGAAGGCCCUCGGGUUGUAAACUGUUUUUGUACAGAACGAAAAGGUUUCUACUAAUACUAGGAGCUCAUGACGGUACUGUAAGAAUAAGCACCGGCUAACUACGUGCCAGCAGCCGCGGUAA
rnacentral:rRNA from 1 species